UCCAAAACUUUCUCGCAGCCCUUGCUCCACACAGAGAACACCGUAAAUUCUUUCUCCCGUCCUUGCUCCACACCGACGACUGUUUGGAAUCCUUCUCACCGGCGAGGCGGACGGUCGUCUUCUAAGAGUGUUAAUAGAGUUAUGAAUCCUUGGGCUCUUUAUCUUCAAAAACUGGGUCUGGAGCUUAAAUGUCCUCUCUGUUUGAAUUUGUUUAAACGAUCAUUGUUGAUACCGUGCGACCAUCUGUUUUGCGAUACGUGCAUAGCCAGAACUGAGUUUGGCUCAGAGUGCCCUAUUUGCAAAGACCAAUCUGCAGAUCGAGGUAAUUUUCAUUUAAUUACUUCUAUUUGUUUUUUUUUUUUGAUAAUUCAAUCAUAUAUUACCCAAAGAGCAAGAAAUGCUACAAAAUCAGUGUUCAAAUUACAGGUUACAAGGAAUGCUAAUUACAAAAUUUACAGAAAUCAAAUAAUACCCCAAUUGUUACAAAGAGUGAUAUUAGUGGGAUCUAAUCUAUUAAUGUUUCUUCCCUUAAUUGAAAACCAACUGUUUCCUUAAUUGCAUGAAACAAAUCUUCAAUGGUUCUUGAACGUUCUUGAAAAAUCCUUUUGUUUCGUUCCUCCCAAAGAGAGUAGAUAAGGGCAUUGGAAGCAAUCUUUAGAAUGUAUGUGAGAAGGGAUUUACCCUUCCAUUUAGCAGCAGCCCAAGCAAGGAGAUCAUUCCAUGACAACAGAUUGUUUUGCAAACCAUUAAGAGAGAAGACAGCAGUCCAUAAUGAACUAGUUGCAGGACAUUCGAAGAAGAGAUGAUUCCUAGUUUCCAUAGCAGCACCACAGAAAACACAAUGACAAUCAUUAAGGAGACCCAUGCGUUGUAACCUUUCUUUUGUUGGAAGCCUAUCAAGGAAAACCAUCCAAGUAAUUAAAUUGUGUUUGGGGACGUGAAGAGGGAACCAUAUCAGCUUAUGCCAUUGGACUUUGGGGGACUUAACCCUGAUAACAUCCAAGUAAUAAAAUGUUGUUGGGAGCUAAAUAAGUUCCUUUUGAUCAAGUUUGCGAACAUGAUUGGUGCAACUGUAUCCAAGUUUUGGAAGCCAGAUGUCACUCAUGUGAUUACUUCUACAGAUGGGAAUGGUGCAUACACCAGGACACUUAAAAGUUCUCAUGGCCAUUUCAAACAGGAAGUGGAUUCUUAAUAUAAAUUUUAAGUUCAAUUGUUCCUUUUUCCACUCUAUAUUCAUAAGCAUCUGUUUCUUUUACUUUGUUGAAUGUGUUCUGGUUGAAGUUCAAACACUAAAACAAUAAGUUGUAUCGUCACCACUGAUAUGUAAGCUUAACUUUACAGGGGUAAAGGAGUGCUUGAAAGCCAUGCAUCCUUUGAGUGAGGAACCUUACAGUUAGUCUCGAUAACCACAGGUGUCGUGAUGGCCCUAAAACUGGCAGACUCGGUAUUGAAUGAUGUAAGUUUAUCUGCUAGUUUUUAAAGUUGGCAACACUAUUAUCUUUUGCUUCGCAAGCAAAGUUGGCAACCAGAGUUUGUUUACCCAGUCCCAGAGUUUGUUUACCUAAUGGAAGGACUGUAAUUAUUAUAACAAUUUAAAACCCAUUAGUAUCUCCUAACAAUCAAUUGGCCCAGUAG